UCGUGGACUGAUUUGUCUGGUUGAUUCCGAUAACGAGCGAGAUCUUAACCUGCUAACUAGGUAUUCAGAAUGCGUUCUGUUGUAUCUUCUUAGAGGGACUUUGCAUGUUUAGUGCAAGGAGGUAUUGAGGCAAUAACA
rnacentral:rRNA from 1 species